AUUGAACGCUGGCGGCAGGCUUAACACGUGCAAGUCGAGCGGAGAUGAGGUGCUUGCACCUUAUCUUAGCGGCGGACGGGUGAGUAAUGCUUAGGAAUCUGCCUAUUAGUGGGGGACAACAUUCCGAAAGGAAUGCUAAUACCGAAUACGCCCUCCGGGGGCAAGCAGGGCACCUUCGGCCCUGUCGCUAAGCGAUGAGCGUUAGUACGAUUAGCUAGUUGGUGGGGUAUAGGCCUACCAAGUCGACACUCUGUAGCGGGUAUGAGAGGAUAGACCGCCACACUGGGACUGAGACACGGCCCAGACUCCUACGGGAGGCAGCAGUGGGGAAUAUUGGACAAUGGGCGGAAGCCUGAUCCAGCCAUGGCGCGUGUGUGAAGAAGGCCUUUUGGUUGUAAAGCACUUUAAGCGAGGAGGAGGCUACCUGGAUUAAUACUCUAGGAUAGUGGACGUUACUCGCAGAAUAAGCACCGGCUAACUCUGUGCCAGCCGCCGCAGUAAUAC
rnacentral:rRNA from 1 species